GAGUUCAGAGGUGUGCUAUUUGUGGCUGUUCUAGAGGAAAUAAGUCUUCCCAUAUUUUUCCCAGCUUUCGUUACUUUUAAUCCUUUUGGUGGUGGCAUAUCAAACAUUUGCUCUCUGAAAACUUUGGGGGAAUUGGAAUUUUAUGAAGUAUUGUACAUUUAUUUAAAGUGGGACAGUCCCAAAUUUACAGGCUAAUAGGAAACCAAAUGAUCUCCUCCAUCACAUCAUUCGAAAAAGAUUUGUAGUAAAAAAAAAGAAAAAAGGACAACUGGUCCGUCAUCUAUACACAUCAACUAAACACCCCUUUUCCCUUUUGCAUAGUCACUGUGCAGGGUUCUAUAGUUGUUCACAUUGUUUGGAGAUGUAGUUGGGGAGAAGUGUGGGAGCAGAAAUGCUGAGGCUUAGAGUGGCCAUGAUCUCCUACAAAAAAACAGCUCUUUUGGACCUUCUCUAACCUGGGCUCUUUGUGUUUUGCAUAUUAAUGCUUAGUGUCUCUCAUUUAGCCACACGAAGUGACAGAGCUGGAGUGGUGAUGCUGGUGACAGGAGAUAAAUCUAAUGACUCAGCAGCUUUACACAAUGAACAGUGCUCU